GGAAAAUCAACAUGGCAAUCCUGACAAUUUGAAGAAUGGUUUGGAGGAGAACAACACUGUUAAGGAAAGUAGUGAUCUAUUGCAAUGUAUUUGGACGUCAAAAUGGGACCCUGAAAUAAAAGGACUUAAAACCUUACUGUCUAACACCAAUGUAUCCCUUUAAUGCCUAGUUUGAUUAUUUUCA
rnacentral:lncRNA from 1 species